rnacentral:misc_RNA from 1 species
GAUGAAGAACGUAGCGAAAUGCGAUAAGUAGUGUGAAUUGCAGAAUUCAGUGAAUCAUCGAAUCUUUGAACGCACAUUGCGCCCCUUGGUAUUCCAUGGGGCAUGCCUGUUCGAGCGUCAUAUUAACCACUCCCGCUUGCGGGGUCUUGGGCUUCGCCUCCGGGCGGGCCUUAAAAUCAGUGGCGGUGCCGUCGGGCUCUACGCGUAGUAAAUUUUCUCGCGAUAGGGUCCCGGUGGAUGCUUGCCAACAACCCCCAACUUCUUAAGGUUGACCUCGGAUCAGGUAGGGAUACCCGCUGAACUUAAGCAUAUCAAUAAGCGGAGGA